AGCUUUGAGCGGUGGUAACACCGUCGCCUCUGAGGUUUAACCAAGGCACGAUUGUUACUGAUUGAAACCAUGAGACCAAAUUCCA
rnacentral:snRNA from 1 species